rnacentral:miRNA from 1 species
GCAGACACAUUCCAGCUAAACAGCAGCAGACCCUCCCUCCCAGACCCUUCCACCUCCUGGACAGCAUCCAUUUUACAUUCAUUGUGAAGCUGCAUUCUUAGUGAGCUGUCCAGGAGGUGGGAGGGUCUGGGAGGGAGGGUCUGCUGCUGAUUGGCUGGAAUGUGUCUG